rnacentral:ncRNA from 1 species
GUAACAUAUAUAUAACAAUAUUUUAAUUUAUAGUGAAGUGGGGAAAUGUUCCAUGUGAACAUCACUUGGACAUGGUCGGUUAGUCGAUCCUAAGAGAUGGGGAAUCCUUGUAUCAAGGGUGCACUCUGCAUGAACAUCAAAAGAGAAUUGGGUUAAUAUUCCCGAACCAGGACAUGGUGGUGGACGGCAAUGUUAUGAAAUCUGGAGAUGUCAUCGGGGGCCUAGGAAGAGUUAUCUUUUCUUUUUAAUGACUUUCCCACCCUGAAAUUGGUUCAGUCGGAGAUAGGGUCCAACAUCUGAAAGAGCACCACAUGUCUUGCAGUGUUUUGUUCCCCCUUGGUGUCCAUUGUAAAUAUGAUGAAACGAGUACCAUCCAUGCCCGAUCGUACUCAUAUGUGUGUAAAUUAUAACCUUGUACAAUAUCUACUA